GAUGAACGCUGGCGGCGUGCCUAAUACAUGCAAGUCGAGCGAACAGAUAAGGAGCUUGCUCCUUUGAAGUUAGCGGCGGACGGGUGAGUAACACGUGGGUAACCUACCUAUAAGACUGGGAUAACUUCGGGAAACCGGAGCUAAUACCGGAUAACAUUUAGAACCGCAUGGUUCUAAAGUGAAAGAUGGUUUUGCUAUCACUUAUAGAUGGACCCGCGCCGUAUUAGCUAGUUGGUAAGGUAACGGCUUACCAAGGCGACGAUACGUAGCCGACCUGAGAGGGUGAUCGGCCACACUGGAACUAAGACACGGUCCAGACUCCUACGGGAGGCAGCAGUAGGGAAUCUUCCGCAAUGGGCGAAAGCCUGACGGAGCAACGCCGCGUGAGUGAUGAAGGGUUUCGGCUCGUAAAACUCUGUUAUUAGGGAAGAACAAAUGUGUAAGUAACUGUGCACAUCUUGACGGUACCUAAUCAGAAAGCCACGGCUAACUACGUGCCAGCAGCCGCCGUAA
rnacentral:rRNA from 1 species